GCGUGAAGCUCACCCUAAGAUGAGAUAUCCCACCUAUAACGGGUAAGACCCCAUGUAGACUACAUGGUUGAUAGGUCGGAGGUGUAAGUGUGGCAACACAUUGAGCUGACCGAUACUAAUAGGUCGAGGGCUUGACCAAA
rnacentral:rRNA from 1 species